AUUGAACGCUGGCGGCAGGCCUAACACAUGCAAGUCGAGCGAGCGGCGGACGGGUGAGUACUGUCUGGGAAACUGCCUGAUGGAGGGGGAUAACUACUGGAAACGGUAGCUAAUACCGCAUACCCUCAGAUGUGCCCAGAUGGGCAGUGCUAGGAGGUGGUGUAACGGCUCACCUAGGCGACGAUCCCUAGCUGGUCUGAGAGGAUGACCAGCCACACUGGAACGAGGACACGGUCCAGACUCGUACGGGAGGCAGCAGUGGGGAAUAUUGCACAAUGGGGGCAAGCCUGAUGCAGCCAUGCGGGGUGUGUGAAGAAGGCCUUGGGGUUGUAAAGCACUUUCAGCGGGGAGGCGUUACCCGCAGAAGAAGCACCGGCUAACUCCGUGCCAGCAGCCGCGGUAAUUC
rnacentral:rRNA from 1 species